GAUGAACGCUGGCUACAGGCUUAACACAUGCAAGUCGAGGGGAAACGGCGUUGAGUGCUCGCACUCUUCGGACGUCGACCGGCGCACGGGUGAGUAACGCGUAUCCAACCUUCCCGUCACUGCGGGAUAACCUGCCGAAAGGCAGACUAAUACCGCAUGGCCUUCACUGACGGCAUCAGAGGUGAAGUAAAGCUUUUUUUGCGGUGACGGACGGGGAUGCGUCUGAUUAGCUGGUUGGCGGGGCGACGGCCCACCAAGGCGACGAUCAGUAGGGGUUCUGAGAGGAAGGUCCCCCACAUUGGAACUGAGACACGGUCCAAACUCCUACGGGAGGCAGCAGUGAGGAAUAUUGGUCAAUGGGCGGAAGCAUGAACCAGCCAAGUAGCGUGCAGGACGACGGCCCUACGGGUUGUAAACUGCUUUUAUGCGGGGAUAAAGAGAGGGACGCGUCCCUUUUUGCAGGUACCGCAUGAAUAAGGACCGGCUAAUUCCGUGCCAGCAGCCGCGGUAAUACGGAAGGUCCGGGCGUUAUCCGGAUUUAUUGGGUUUAAAGGGAGCGUAGGCCGGGGAUUAAGUGUGUUGUGAAAUGUAGGCGCUCAACGUCUGAUGUGCAGCGCAUACUGGUCCCCUUGAGUACGCGCAACGCCGGCGGAAUUCGUCGUGUAGCGGUGAAAUGCUUAGAUAUGACGAAGAACCCCGAUUGCGAAGGCAGCCGGCGGGAGCGCAACUGACGCUGAAGCUCGAAGGUGCGGGUAUCGAACAGGAUUAGAUACCCUGGUAGUCCGCACGGUAAACGAUGGAUGCCCGCUCUCGGCGCCUGGCGCCGGGGGCCAAGCGAAAGCGUUAAGCAUCCCACCUGGGGAGUACGCCGGCAACGGUGAAACUCAAAGGAAUUGACGGGGGCCCGCACAAGCGGAGGAACAUGUGGUUUAAUUCGAUGAUACGCGAGGAACCUUACCCGGGCUUGAAUUGCAGAGGAAUGAUUUAGAGAUAAUGACGCCCUCGGGGUCUCUGCG
rnacentral:rRNA from 1 species